AUAAUGAUCACUCAGUCUUCUUCUUUUGUGCGUGACACAAAUAUCGUUAAAUAUUGUCUCCGUCUGUUCGCAUUUCUUCAGUGUUUUGGCUGUCGGUGUACGUUUUAUGGUGUAUACGGCAGUGACGAAUGUGCACACUGUCGCGAUGUAAACAACUGUUUCCAUAUAAAUGAAACAUGUAUUAAAUGUAGAUCUGGUAAGCAAAAAAAAAACUGAUACAAAGCACAGGACGAUCUUUCAAGUACAUCCCUGAUUGUUUUGAUCUGCAUCCUUUCUACUCUUUUGAUCACGACAUGGAUUUUGAUUGCAGUGUAUGCUUUCCUCAAACGUCGACGCGGACGCCUACUCGUUAACGAAACACACGGGGCUGUAGAUAUUUGUUUAGCAGACCAGGACGUGCCGCAUCAUUAUGAUGAGGUACAGGACAUUGAUGGAUGUUAUACUUUUCUUGAUUGUUCUGCACAGGAAACGCACUACGAGGAUGUGAACAAAAUAUAAUGGAACGUAGAGACAAGCAGUAAAUUAUUACAAAGCCAUCAUGUAACCAUGCUCGUGGAUCUGGGAUGCUAUAUUACAGACUUUAAUGAUAAUAUGUUUUCGGUGUGACCGUUAGGGUGAGGGCAGAAGGAACUAUAUCAUUCCUGAUCCUUGUUAUUUGCAACCCGGCGACUUGCCCAAACCUCAACUUUGGCUUUCUCUCGAAAAAAUUUACCCCUGCAAGGAACCCGAUGUUAUCAAAUCUAUAUUCCAAUUAUCCCGCUCUAGACCAGUGUACAUGAACAAACUACCCCUAAGCAUUAAUUGAAUGUAAAACAAACUUAUUUAAAUACUUAAAUGAAUACAAAUCCGUUUGAGUUUUUUAUGCACAAUAAAGUAUUAUCAUUCCUUUACUUUUCAAAAUAAUCAUUGAAAUCAAUAAACAAAAAAAUGCUUUACUGUGUUAUUUCUCAUUUUGUUCCUUUUCAUUAUCCGAGUUUUAAUUUUUUUCCUUCGUAACAUCAGUUUUGUUUUUAGUUUUUGUAUGCUAUAUAUGAUUGGUAAACAUGUGCCCAACUUUUUUAAUGUUGUGUGAUAUCCAAAUAUUAUUCAUGAAGGUUUGACGAUAUAUGCGACUUACUAAUAGAUUUUUAAACACUUUCAAAUUUGAUGGUUUGACUAUAUAUAUAUGCAAUAUCUACAUAAAUUUUUUAACUGUUUUUUCUCUUUAUUUCUUUUUAUUUAGUUCAAAAUAUACUAUUGUUUAUAUCCUCCCUACUCAUACACUUACCUGCUUACUGUACAUGCAUGCACAAUUAGCUUAAAAAUGGAUCAAUAUGACAGUAAAGUAUGGUAUUUUAUAAUCUGAAAACAAUAAAAAAAAAUGAAAACAAAUCAUAUAUCAAUGAGGCAGGUCUCGCGGUCUAUAUUGAAAUAGUUAGUACAUGCAUUCAAAUGUGUGAUCCACCUCAAAAUUUAUAGCUGGAACACUGUGACGUAUUCCAUGACCUUUUUUGUCUUUGUUUACGUAUCUCGACUCAAUAUGAAGGGCAUAUCUCUUGGGUUUCACCAAAGCUUGGCCGGUACUCAAAACGUGUCUUCAAACCUCAAGACACGGUAAAUUGCGAGUUUAAUGUCGGCCAUUUUUGGCAAAGCAUCACGAGUGAAAACAUCAGAGAGCAAAACGGGACGUAGACAAAACAUUUUGUUGAUGAAUCUGUAGGUUUAGUUCGUUCUUCUUACCGCGCACACUGGUUCCUAGAGCUCGCUUCGCUGCGUGCCGGCGAGCUGCGUUCGCUAUACUAACAUAUAAGAUAACAAUUUUGAUUCUUUUUCUUUGGUGAGUUAUCUCUGUAUGAACAUAUAGUUUGUAUUAUUUAUAUUUGAUAAUAAUGAUUACCUGUUUUACCACUUACAUGAUAAGAAGUAGGUGUAGUGUUUCUCAUCAAAAUGUAAUAACUUGUGUAAAGAUAUAUACAAUUUAUCAUAGUUUAUGCAAAUUGUUACUACUGUCAACAUAGAAUUGUUCUGUGAGAAUAACAAAAAGUUGUGCUUCGAUCAUUUUAAUAACCAGAGAAAGUAAAUCGCUUACAAAUCAU
rnacentral:sRNA from 1 species